AACAUAGGCAUUCCAAAUCCCUAGAAAAUGAGAAACACAAUUAUUAACUUCAUACAAAAAACAAGGCCCAGAAACCAUAAAUAAAAAGCAGUAAUAAUUUAACAUUUACUGAAUCGUCUUCUAUGAUAGCUGCAGAAUCGAAGAAAUCUGGCCUCAGCUCAGCUCUCUCUCGCCGAUUUCUUGAUGGGGGCUGGAAAGAGAAGCCAAAUUAUUUCAUUUUAUUCCUGAGAUACAUUAAGACAACGAACUGUGAUAAUAAGCAGCUGGUAUUUCUGAUGGUACCAUAAAUGUACAGAACGGUUAAAGGUCAAUUUUGGGAAAAAAAAUAAAUAAAUCUGGUUUUACAUGGAGCAUACAUUUAAAAAAAACCUGGUUUUUAAUUAUCCCUUAUACAAGAAAAAAGACUUGCAAAUUAUGAAUCAAUCGAAUAUGUAAAUGCCUAUAAAUUUUUGGGCCUAUAAACAUAGAACAUUCCUCCAAUCAUAACAUAACUAUAAAAUGAUCAAAUGCCAGGUGACAAAACCACUAAAUUCCCCAAGGCAGGUAGAUGAAAGGUAGGUUACAGAUUGGAGUGACAUGAUCUCAUGGAAAAAAACAUAGAAAGCAGAAUGUUAUGGGCCCCUCAAAAUGUGACUUAUUUGGAGAUAGGGCUUUAAAGAGUUAGGGAAAAAGGUGGUUAUGGGUUCUAAUCCAAUACGAUUUGUGUCCUUAGAAGAAGACAGAAAAGACUGUGUAAAGACAAAGGAAGAUGGCUAUCCACAAGUAAUACAGAGAGGUCUCAGAAUGAAACCAACCCUCCUGAUACCCUGAUCUCAGAUUUCUAGCCUCCAGAACGAUCAAUAACCAUGGUGUCUUCAAAUUCUUCAUUCAUAUCUUCUAAUUGGCUCCGGGAUGACAUCAUCACGUCUUCAAAGAUGGGCUCAGCAUCUUCCUCCAUUAAGCCCCGACUGAUAAAGAAAAAGCAUAGUCGGAAAGCUGUUCUGAAUCACGGACUUCGGAGGCCCUGGCACUAGAAAACAUUUUAAUUGCUACUAUGGAAAAAGGUAAGAUCUUUAUUUUCUCUUAGCAAAAGGGCAACUAAUUCUACCACUUCUCCAAAUUUAUCUAACAUCUUAAUUCUUAAUCCAAAACCGUUAAAAAUGUUAAGCUU